rnacentral:tmRNA from 1 species
GGGGCCGACUGGUUUUGACAGCGGGUUUCAUUGUACGGUAAGCAUGUCGAGCGCUGGGAUACAGCUCGUAAAUCUCAUAUUUCAUCUUUUUUAAACGGCGAGAAUAACUACGCCCUAGCUGCAUAAUCCGAAUUAUAGUAGGAUAAUGCCUCGGCCCGCAAGGCGGGCAAGCAGGAAGUCACUCGAGAGCCUUGGUUUGCGGCAAUCGAUUUAGUGGCUUCGUAAAAGUAAACCUAGUUUGUGUAGGGCUUUGAUACACUUACGAAACCAAAUUGAAGCUAAGUCUUGCGCAGGUUGUUUCCAGCCAGUAAUAGAUCGAAAACCCUAAUGGAAAAUAAACAUGUAGAAAGCUCUACAACGGCACGUUUGGACGGGAGUUCGAAUCUCCCCGGCUCCACAA